CAACUAUACUGUGAAACUGCGAAUGGCUCAUUAAAUCAGUUAUCGUUUAUUUGAUAGUACCUUACUACUUGGAUAACCGUGGUAAUUCUAGAGCUAAUACAUGCUAAAAACCUCGACUUCGGAAGGGGUGUAUUUAUUAGAUAAAAAACCAAUGCCCUUCGGGGCUCCCUGGUGAUUCAUAAUAACUUAACGAAUCGCAUGGCCUUGUGCCGGCGAUGGUUCAUUCAAAUUUCUGCCCUAUCAACUUUCGAUGGUAGGAUAGUGGCCUACCAUGGUUUCGACGGGUAACGGGGAAUUAGGGUUCUAUUCCGGAGAGGGAGCCUGAGAAACGGCUACCACAUCCAAGGAAGGCAGCAGGCGCGCAAAUUACCCAAUCCCGACACGGGGAGGUAGUGACAAUAAAUACUGAUACAGGGCUCUUUUGGGUCUUGUAAUUGGAAUGAGUACAAUUUAAAUCCCUUAACGAGGAACAAUUGGAGGGCAAGUCUGGUGCCAGCAGCCGCGGUAAUUCCAGCUCCAAUAGCGUAUAUUAAAGUUGUUGCAGUUAAAAAGCUCGUAGUUGAACCUUGGGCCUGGCUGGUCGGUCCGCCUCACCGCGUGCACUGAUCCGGCCGGGCCUUUCCUUCUGGGGAGCCGCAUGCCCUUCACUGGGUGUGUCGGGGAACCAGGACUUUUACUUUGAAAAAAUUAGAGUGUUCAAAGCAGGCCUAUGCUCGAAUACAUUAGCAUGGAAUAAUAAAAUAGGACGUGUGGUUCUAUUUUGUUGGUUUCUAGGACCGCCGUAAUGAUUAAUAGGGAUAGUCGGGGGUGUCAGUAUUCCCGUGCUAGAGGUGAAAUUCUUGGAUUUCGGGAAGACUAACUACUGCGAAAGCAUUCACCAAGGAUGUUUUCAUUAAUCAGUGAACGAAAGUUAGGGGAUCGAAGACGAUCAGAUACCGUCGUAGUCUUAACCAUAAACUAUGCCGACUAGGGAUCGGGCGAUGUUAUCUUUUUGACUCGCUCGGCACCUCACGAGAAAUCAAAGUCUUUGGGUUCU
rnacentral:rRNA from 1 species